rnacentral:rRNA from 1 species
GUGUCAGCCGCCGCGGUAAUACAGAGACUGCAAGCGUUAUUCGGAUUCACUGGGCGUAAAGGGUGCGCAGGCGGCCGUGUGUGUCAGGUGUGAAAGCCCGGGGCUUAACCCCGGAAUUGCGCCUGAAACUACAUGGCUAGAGCAUUGGAGAGGGUAGCAGAAUUCACGGUGUAGCAGUGAAAUGCGUAGAUAUCGUGAGGAAUACCAGAGGCGAAGGCGGCUACCUGGACAAUUGCUGACGCUCAGGCACGAAAGCGUGGGGAGCAAAAGGGAUUAGAAACCCUCGUAGUCC